AAGGAAAAAAAAAUGAAGUAAUUGAAUAUAAGAAUGCUAUGAUUUGGUUCUACAAGGAUAUAUGAUAUAUCAGUUAAAAAGUUGCUGCUGAAGAACAGUGUGACCUUUGAAAAAGUAAAAGGCUGAUUUAGAUAAAGAGAUUCAUGAACUGGAGUUAAAUUGUGAUUUUCUCAUUAGAAAAAGAAAUAAAAGUGUGUGACAAUGUGUUCAAAGGUUUGAAUCUUCACCUUCUUGGCUGGGGGAUUAGAAUUUUAUACUUCCCUUGGGAAAUAGCAGAUCUUGUGGCUGCAAAGAAAGGAGUCUUGGAUGGAGGCAAGGGACUCUGAUUGUUCUGGAAGUGAUAUUGUUGGUUGGCAUCAAAUCAAGUAUCUAAUAUAUAGCUCGACUCUAAAUCCCCAUAGAUGCAAUGGGGUGGAUUUUUCUUGAACUAGGUUUCUUUGCUUGGUAAACAGAAGCUGCUAAGGCACAUCUUUUCUUGCAAUGGAAUUGUAACCUCCAGUGACUUGACCUCUGCUUUUAUCUGGACUUUUGUCUCAAGAAAUUUAAAUGUCUUUUUCAACCAUUAAUGCCUUGAGGCAGAAUGAAAGCUACUGUUCUUGCAAAGUAGCGUUAUACAUUCUUUUGGGAUGUAACACAAUCACUACAUAUUCGCUUUCAUGCAGUCAUUCUUUAAGACAUUUUUCUAUUAUCUAUUAUCUAUUUUUGACUCUGUCGCGCCUACAAGAUGUUGAUUACAGGGUUUUUUUUAUUUUUAUUUUU
rnacentral:misc_RNA from 1 species